AUAUUUUUGGAGAUAUUUAGGAAUAAAGGUUCCAUUCAGAAAGGCAUAAUUUCUUGCCCACGUUUCUAUGGACCGGGCAUUUUUUCUCGAAAACUAUCUGGGUAUACGUGAAAACUGUAAAACACGAUGUCCUGUUACAUUUUCCUUCCAAAGUACGUCAUUAAUAUUUUUUUCUGCGCAUCCUCUUGCACAGCGCAUGCUUCAACUUGGUUUUUUCGAAUGGAAGUGUAUUGUUUUUCUGACGGAGUUUGAUUCUGCCAAUUUUUUGUGCAAUUUUUGUGGUAAAAUUAUUUUCCUAUGACCGAUAUUUUUGGAGAUAUUUAGGAAUAAAGGUUCCAUUCAGAAAAGCAUAAUUUCUUGUCCACGUUUCUGUGGACCAGGCAUUUUUCUCGAAAACUAUCGGGUAUACGUGAAAACUGUAAAACACGUGUCCUGUUACAUUUUCCUUCCACGCAUCCUCUUGCACAGCGC
rnacentral:lncRNA from 1 species